GAGCAUAUAGUCGUUAGGUCUCCGCUUUGCAAAGGCGGGUGUAAGAAUUUAUUCUUUGUGCUUU
rnacentral:tRNA from 1 species